GACGAACGCUGGCGGCGUGCUUAACACAUGCAAGUCGAACGGAAAGGCCCCUUUGGGGGUACUCGAGUGGCGAACGGGUGAGUAACACGUGAGUAACCUGCCCUUGACUUCGGGAUAACUUCAGGAAACUGGGGCUAAUACCGGAUAGGAAUCCUUGCUGCAUGGUGGGGGUUGGAAAGCUUCGGCGGUUUUGGAUGGACUUACGGCUUAUCAGCUUGUUGGUGGGGUAGUGGCUUACCAAGGCUUUGACGGGUAGCCGGCCUGAGAGGGCGACCGGCCACAUUGGGACUGAGAUACGGCCCAGACUCCUACGGGAGGCAGCAGUGGGGAAUAUUGCACAAUGGGCGGAAGCCUGAUGCAGCAACGCCGCGUGCGGGAUGACGGCCUUCGGGUUGUAAACCGCUUUCAGCAGGGGCGAAGCUUGUGGUGACGGUACCUGCAGAAGAAGCACCGGCUAACUACGUG
rnacentral:rRNA from 1 species